CUGUAAUAGACUCUGAGCCAACCAUGUGUGAUAUUCUUGACAAGGAUAAACCCAGCUGGCUCAUAGUAGCAGAAACCAACAUUUAUUUCAGUCAGUUAUUGAGUGAUAGUCCUUUCAGUGUUGCUGUUGUUGCCAAGUUUGCUUUUCAAAACCCCUAAGGACACUGCUGAAUAUUGUUGGGAGCAGUGAUUUUUUCAUACCCCUGCUUUUUUGCCACCAUCUCGGACUUACCUUUACUUUCCAAGUGCAAAACUGUUUUCUUCAUCACUUAGCAAGAACAUUUUGAGUUCUUGCUAAAAAAAAAAAAAGUAGGGGAAAAAAAAGUAAAAUAAAGUAAAAUUAAAAAGUAAAAUAAAUCUGGGAAGCUCUUCCUGACUGUUCUGGAGAAAGCUGCAUUCCAGAGGUCGUGGGAUGAGUAUGUGAAAGGGAGAGUAGUUUGCUGCAUGUGAUAUGUUGAGUUUGUUGUUUUUUAAAACAGCCAAAAGAAAGUACAUGAGCAAGAAUGUAGAAUUUCAGCUCAUGAGAACUGGAAACUGAACUGGCUCCAGGAUCUGGGUCAAGAGGAAAACUUGGUGAACUUCUGCACAGAACAGAUACUUCCCUAGAGCUGCACAGUGCUUUUCACAAGUGCAGGAGAGCCCAGCGUGUGCAGGGGCUGGAAGGAGGGCAGAGUGGGUUUAGGUACAGGAAGAAAAGAAUCUAUCUGUGGAAUUUCCCUGCACAAAAUGCCAAAUGCUCAGAUGGAAAGGAGGCUUCUUCCCCAGUCAGCUGCUGCAGCAGAGGAUGCACAGUGUCAGAGGUGGAGAUGGCCAGAAUUAUGCCGAAGAAUCCUUGGUGCUGUCCUGUGUCUGAGCACCAGAGCACUGAAUGCUGAGCAGAACUGUCUCCUCUGUACCUCAAGAACUUCCUGUAGGAAAUUUUUAGACUGCUGGUGGCAGCCCCAUGGAAUGAGUCAGUGCUGUGCUGCUUUCAGUCUGGUGAAUGAAAGAAUUCUGGAGGCAUAAUUUCCUUAUUACUGAAGCCUGGGUUUGACAAAAUUGUAGAUUUCCCUGCUUUCUCAUAGAUAUGUGUGUCUAAUUGACAGAAAGAAAACACCAAAGCCUCGUGUGAAUAAGAAUACCAGAAUGAUUAAGGAUGGAGAAAAAACUCCAGGAUCAUCAAGUCCAGCCUGUGACUGACCCAGCCCAGAGCUCUGAGUGCCACCUCCAGCCCUUGGGCACCUGCAGGAUGGUCACUCCAAACCUCCCUGGGCAGCUGUGCCAGUGCUGAGCACCCUUUCCAUGGGGAAAUUCCUGCUGAUGUCCACCCUGAGCCUCCCCUGGCCCAGCCUGAGGCCGUUCCCUCUCCUCCUGUCCCUGUUCCCUGGAGCACAGCCCGACCCCCCGGCUGUCCCCUCCUGUCAGGAGCUGUGCAGAGCCACAAGGGCCCCCCUGAGCCUCCUUUGCUCCAGGCUGAGCCCCUUUCCAGCUCCCUCAGCUGCUCCUGGGGCUCCAGACCCUUCCCAGCUCCGUUCCCUUCUCUCAGGCCUGAAUGUGUGCUGAUCAGAGGCACCAAUUGUGCUGAUAAUUUAUUGUGUGCCCCAGCUUUUGCCAAAGCAGGAACACAAGAGCAGCAAUGCUCAGGUUAAUUAUUCUCAUACCUCCCUUCCUUAAGAGGUUCUGAGAUGAGUGUAUCUUUUAAAGGAAAAAAAUAAGUCUUGUAUCCUGUAGGUUAUUUCCCAGAGAAAUACCAAAAACACUUUUCUGCCGAGAAUUAGCCUUUCAUCAUAAAUGCAAAUCCACUUUCCAGGCCCAAAUAAACACACACUGGAAUGGCAUCACCGCUGGUGCACAGUCCUGGAUGAGCUGCUGGGAUUCUUCAACCAUUUCCAGCUCCAGCACUCAGCCGCAAGCCUGAAACUCCUCACCUUAGUGCUCCUCAUGUUUUCCCUUUCUUUGAGGCUUUGAAGAGCCUAAAGAUCACCUCUCAAAGUACUUGACAAAAGUAUCUCUGCUCUGUGACAAGGCAACUCCUGCACUCUUCAUCUGAAGCAUUUUUCUAUCUGCCUGAUCUUUUCAUGUCUUUUAUUUUUCCCAGAAAAUUCACCUUCAUCCUCUUUUUUGUUUCAUGACCUGCUUCCCACUCAUUUGUGGCCUGCUCAGGCAAGGAGGCACCUCUGGAUGCUGUGUCCAGCUCUGGAUCCUUAGCACAGCAGGGACAGGAGCUCCUGGAGCGGGGCCAGCUCAGGCUGGGAGGAUGAGGAGGGCCUGGAGCAUCUCGGUGCCCAGGAAAGGCUGAGGGAGCUGGGGCUGCUCAGCCUGGAGAGGAGCCCCAGCUGAGAGGGGCCCUCAGCCCUGGCUGUCCCUGUGUGCAGGGAGGGCAGAGCAGGGCCCAGGCUCUGCUCCAGGCCCAGCAGUGGCACCAGAGCCACGGGCAGGGCCGAAGCCCAGGAGCUGCCCCUGCCCAGGAGGCAGAACUUCUGCCCUGGGCACUGCCCAGCCCUGAACAGGCUGCCCAGGGAGGGGCUGGAGUCUCCCUCAGCGGGGAUCCUGCAGAGCCCUCUGGGCACAAUGCUGUGCCCUGUGCUCUGGGAUGGCCCUGCCUGAGCUGGGAGCUGGCACCAGGGUCCCUCUGCGCUCCCUUCCAGCCUGGCAUUCUGUGAAUCACUGGCAAGAUGAAAGACAAGACCAGGUAUUAUAAAGACCAGGGGAAGAAACAAGGUGUGAAACACAUUUAGGCUUUGGCUUCCCAUGCUGCAAUCUCAAACUCUAUUUCCCCACUGCAUUCCCCAAAUAUUUCCUCCCUGUCCCACCAUCCUUGGUCAUCCUGUCUCAAAGCCCUUCAGAACUGACCAGGACAUUUAGGAUUAAUGGCUGAGCUUUAGUGUUUCCAUCCACAAAAUGGAUAUUGCUCAUCUGAACGUUAUGGUCAGAGCUGAUGGCUCUAAAGCUCCUUAAAGAUAUGAUGCUGUAAAAAUUGUGAAGGCUAUUGAUAGUUUAUUAUUUUUUAUCUGUAAUAUUUACAGCCUUUGACUUCCUUCUUGCAUAACAUAGCAAAUGUUUUUCUGCUUCCUGAAAACGUGUGGUAAAUCAACUGAUCCACUGUUGUUUUCAAAUAUCCUUAGUUAGUUUUCAUGCACAUGUUUUGGAAUCUAUGUAAAAUAUGCCUUAAAUAGCUGAAUAAAAUAAAUGCCAGGGCUCUUACAGCUUUUUCCACCUGAUUUCAAUGCAGAGCUGCCAAACAAUUUCAGUGGUUUAUAGCCUGUUGCCCAAAAUCAAAUUCCGUGUUACUUUUGGUUUAAGGGCUAAUAGCUUUUUGAAAUAUAUUAGUGUUUUCCGGUGACAGAUCCAAGAUUAGCUUUUAUCCAUUGUUCCAAGAGGUAUUCCAUAAUCCUGUGGCACAGUCAACUUUAUGAGGAAUUUUACAACCUUUCAUGAGCGCUUUGUGUUUUAAAAUGCUAAAAAAGCAGUUAAGGAGAGAGGAAAACAAAGCACUGCAGUGUGUCCCUCUGAUGUUCCAUUGGCCUUUGAAGUGCUGGGGAGUGAGGAGCGAUGACUGCAGGAAUGACUGCAGGAGGAAUCACUUUGCCCAGACAGACUGAGGAGCCAGCCAGCCAAAGUUUUUGAGUGCUGCAGAACUGCUUUACUGGAGGAGUAUUUGCCUUGAGACAAUGAACAGCCAGAGUGGGGGAGCUCAAGUCUCUGCCAGACCUUGAGCAUGUCCUUUGGAGCAGCAGCACUGAAGAACGGCAUCCAUCGGAGUGAUGUCAUUCAAUCCUGAUUUUUUCAUGUGAUGACAUCAAAACCAGAGUGGGCAGCAGAUUGAGGAGGGGGAUUGUGCCCCUGUGCUCAGGUGAGACCCCACCUGCAGAGCUGCCCCAGCCCUGGGCCCAGCACAGGCAGGAGCUGGAGCUGCUGCAGGAGCCCAGAGGAGGCUCCAGGAUGAGCAGAAGGAUGGAGCAGCUCUGCUGGGAGGAAAGGCUGGCACAGCUGGGAAUGCUCACCUGGAGAGGACAAGCACUGGGGUCACCUAACUGUGGCCUUGCAGGACCUGAAGGAGCUACAGGAAAGAUGGAUAGAUACUAUUGGCAAGGGAUGGGGAAAGGACACAGGGAAUGGCUUCUCACUGCCAGAGGGCAGGGAUGGAUGGGAUAUUGGGAAUUAGGAAUUGUUCCCUGGCAGGGUGGGCAGGCCCUGGCACAGGGUGCCCAGAGCAGCUGGGGCUGCCCCUGGAUCCCUGGCAGUGCCCAAGGCCAGGCUGGACAUUGGGGUUUGGAGCAGCCUGGGACAGUGGAAGGUGUCCCUGCCAUGGCAGGGGUGGCACUGGAUGGGCUUUAAGGUUCCUUCCAACCCAAACCAUCCUGGGAUUCUCUUCUAUGAUUCUGGGGUUUGAAGCAGUGCAAAAGCAGGACUUUGGGAUGCACCCAUUGCUCCCAGGUGGUUUCUGCAGGGCAAGGCAAAGGCAGAGCAGUGCUGGGGAGGGCAGGCUCAGGAUGCCCCUGCUUUGUGCACCAUUGCAAACUAUGGCUACGACUGGGAUGAAUCUCUCCCUAAUACUUUAUUCCUCUUUUGCAUGGGGAAAAAGGGAAACACCCAAGUGCUGUGAUGAGACAGACCUGAGGAUGGAGAAUUGGAUGGGAUCAGCACAGCUUUUUCCCUUUAAAAGCUACUCUAUGAGACCUUCAGCCCUAGAUGCAAAUGUAUAUCCUUCCAGGAGAAGUAUUUCAGAGGCAGGGUCUAGCACAUAAUUUUCUGUCCCUGCCUCCUUAAAGAUGUCAUAUCUUUCCCCCACAAAAAAUGCUAUUGUUGGAAAGAAAAUGGAAAAUCUUUCUGGCCAUUCUUCUGAAAUGAAAGCAGCAAUCUUCAAAGCCAAGAACAAUCCCUUCAGGCUAGCUGAGUAACUGCUCAGGCUAUACAAAAACAGCCAAUUUGUACUUGUGAGGUAUCAAGGCUCAGCUGUUUGAUGGGGCUGGAGAUGUUUGUACCUGGCAGUGGCUGGAGUCUGUCACUGGGACAUGGUGGGCUGGGCCUGGUCACUGAAUGGUGCUUGAAGCUGGAUUUUGUACUGGGGGAGGAAUCACAGCCUAUUCAGGGCACCAUUUUUGUUUCAUGGAGGAAGUAACAGGUUUGACUGCACCUUGGGAUCUGCUUUCCUUUGCACCUCCACCAUCCAGUGCCUGGUGGGAGCAGAGCAGCCUCAGCCUCCCCUGGUUUGUCCUCCCAGCCAAACUCUGUUUUGUUUUUCCCUAAUCUCCUACUGCAGUUCCACACAAACAUUAAACAAGAGGAGGAGACAGGGUUCUCUGUGAAUUACUCCCCAGCUGAGACUAUUUGCAGUAUAAAGGAGACUCCUACCUCAAAAUUGCUUCUUCUGGGGGCUUCUCCAGUGGGAUUGGCAGUUCUGUGGAUCCCACCUCCCAAAGCAACCUCUCACCUGUGGCUGGUACUGUUUCUGCACCAGUGCUGAGCUGAGGAGUUCAGGCUGUUCAGCCACUCUGGAAUUGCAGCCUUCAGUUGAGUGUCUGCACAUUUGACUCAUGAGAAGAUGGACAAGAUGAUCAGAGGAAUGGAGGGCUGAAGCUCCUCUCUGAGAAAAGGUUGAGAGAGCUGACAGGGAAGGUGGGGAGAGAGGAUUUACAGGCCCUGGCACAGGGUACCCAGAGCAGCUGUGGCUGCCCCUGGAUCUCUGGCAGUGCCCAAGGCCAGGCUGGAUGGGGCUGGGAGCAGCCUGGGACAGUGGAAGGUGUUCCUGCCCAUGGCAGGGGUGGAACAAGAAGGGCUUUAAGAUCUUCUCCAACCCAAGCCAUGCUAUGACUCUAUGAUUUCCCUAAAAACUAAGCUCUGGGCAUUCUGGAGACACCCAAUGAAUCAACUGCACAUGUGAGAUAAAAUCCAAUUUGGUUUUGUUUUUCCCACUGUACCUUUCAUUGAACUCCACAAGGAUACACAGCACUUGGGAGGUUUUACUGAGACAGGCACUUGGUGUGUUUUGGGGACUGGGAAGACAGUUCAUAUACAGAUUCCCAAAAUAAAACAAAAGGCUGCCUGA